AUCGACCGAAGGGUAAGUCUUCUUCUUCAAUCUUCAAUUUAGAAUUCCAACUUACACUUUGCAGAAAUUUUAUUGAGAGCCAGAAGAAACCAGUUGGAAAAUCAUAACACUUCUUCCCUUCCCUUCGGCAUGUAAUUUUGUAGGUAAAGAAUGGCGGAAUCAGUAAUGAAAAUUUCAUCGGCGGCCGCUGCUAAUGCUUCUUCACUCAACAAUUUCAACGGUUCAGAGAGCAGGCUGCUGCCACCUUGCUGUUUUGCUGGACGACUUCGAAACAGUUUUACUGUUCGAAGAAUUGGAUUAUUGGAAUGGAGCUCUAACGUCUUACUUCUUCUUCAAUUUUUGAGAUCUUCACUUCUUUGGAAGCAUGAGACUUAGCUCCCCAAUGCUCUUGAAUUUACAAAUUACAACAAUGCAAGCAGAGCAAAAGAAGUUUAUCUGUUUUUGACAUGGCUACUGGGUAUAUCGCCCUUUCAUUUCUCUUAGGGUCUGCUUGGGAGUUCUAUUUUCACCGGUAAUGGGCGGUUUUGGGAGUACCGGUAAUGGAGUGUUGGGAAAACUGGCGAUUGGCAGUUUUUUUUGGGCACCGGUUUUGGGCGGUUUAAGAAACGCCCACUUGCGGUAGUGUAAAUUUGGGCGGUUCUUCCGACCCCCAAUUUGGAGAGUUUUGGCCGUUUCUCUUUUUUUACUCUAAUUUUAC
rnacentral:lncRNA from 1 species